CGUGGUGGGGAGGGGAGCCCUGCUGUGAGGGGCACGGGGUAAACACAGCCGAAAUGACAGCAGCAGGCCUCAUCACAGAGCGUUAGCAAUUCAAACAGCCACGUCAGGCAGAGAAUUUGAGAGACGGAUGUAACACAAGCAAAGGAAGAACGUGGCAGUUUGCAAACAGUGAGUUGGGUGAUGUUCUUGUAGGUGUGUUCAUUCUUGAAGCACCUCGAAAGAAAUGCAAAUGAAAUGUAUGGUGGGCAGGUCUCCGUGCAAGCAAGGCCUGUUGGAGCUUCAGGUCAGAGAUGCAGGAACUUCUUUAUCUCGUAGAGAGAGAUAACAAGAGGGCUUUUGGAAAAUGUGAGAAAACCAUUGGAGGUCUGGUUUUGCCUAAAGGCACAGUGGGAUGGAUGAUGGAGUCUGAGGAGUGGGGAGUUGUGUGCUAUUCUAUUAAUAAAAGCAGAAGGAAGUAGCAGAACAGAAGCAGUGGAGCAAAUCCCAAAGUCAGUGCCCCACCAAACAGGCAAAAAACUCACCAAAGAAAAGCUGAUGAAUUUCCAGGGUAGAAUUUGUUGGCAGACAGACUGGGCUGAUGUUUCCUAAAGCAACCAGCUUAAUCCCUCCAUUCUGCAAAGGCAAUGCCAAACAAAAGAAAGCUGCUCAACAUUUUCUAUUAGCCUGAAAUUUUGCUGCAGAGAAAAUGAUAACAUGGAAGGAAUUUCCUUGGGAAAGAAAAGAGAAAAGGGUGCUGUGGAAUUAUUUUAGUUCAGACGACUGCAAUGCUAAAAAUGAAUUCUGGGGCAGGACAAUAAACUCAUACACGAAUAUUAAUUCUGCUUGCAGUCACCCAAGGAGUUCAGUCACUGAAGCCCAUUCAUGGUCCGUGUGCUUCCACAGCCUCAGAGGGAUGCUCCAAAAAACUUUGAAAAGCCCAAUCUAAACACGUUUGUGCCCAACUUUCUAAAGAUCCUCCUGUGUGGCUGCAAAGAAUAAGUAAUUUCUAUCUGUAACACGUUAUGAAGUCCUCGGGAAGUAGGCACCGGGGCAGUGUAAAAUGGUUAUUUUAGCCUUAUCUUCUCUUACAAUUGCUUGUUCUCCAUCUCCGCGGAGGGCAGCUGGCAGCACAGCGCUGCGGUGAUUUAAGCCCACCAGGCUGCGGUGUUGGCUCUGUUGUGCAGCGCCUGAGCCGCUGUGCAGGACUUGGCCAUAAACCGCACAGCCCAAGGAAGAUGUUGCUUGUUUUCCAGGACAGGAUGAAAUCACCCCGUGCAUGUCCUCUGUCUGUCGCCUCUCCUGGCAGGGAAAACAUAAAUGCCUUUCCCAUCAUUUUAUUUAUUGCCUUUCUGUGUUUCCUGGGAAAAGCCUAUUUUUAUUUUCUAGCACUUUUGUGUGUGAGUCUGUGUGGGGUAAGCAUGUGUGUGUGUGUGUGUGUGUGUGUGUGUGUGUGUGUGUGUUUAGGAGGUUAAAAAAAAAUUCUUGCUGUCAGCAAGUGAUGUUACAAACCUGCUCUGACAAGGCUGGUUGUAUAUUUACAGUUGGUGAGAGCGAAGGCUUCAUCAAUCUUCACGCUUUGAAAGGGACAGGCCCGCUCCCAUGAGCACCUGCUCCGGGAGAACAGCUGAACUGUGACUUUCCAGGGAGCUAGCUGUAAAUUUUAGCCAUUCCCCCCGCAGCCCACGCAUGCUUGAGCUCUUUAACCUUCCCAGGCUGGCAGGAGUCCCAGCAAUCAGUUUAGUGCAAAGACUGGGGUUCUUUUUAAUUAACCUUUUGUUUCCCACUGCAGGUGUUUCGAAGUUUCUUAAUGUUAAAAAGGAAGAGGAAAGAAGCUGUUUGCAGAGCCUCCGGUCCUCCCAGAGCACACACCCGAUGGAAGGAGAAAAAAAUGCCCUUUCCUACAACUCCAGCCAGCCCGUCCUGCUUGGACCAUCCACGCUGGUGGUGUGUUGUCUGCCUGGGAGCUCCUGCAGCCCUGCCUGCGUGGAGGAACAAGGAUGUGAUAAUACCGGGCCCUGGAGCUGCAAAUGCAGAACGAACCAAGGAGUAAAAGAAUUGACAAGACAAGCAGUGGUGGGAAAUGGAGGGAAGACUGUGAAAAAGGUUAUAAUAAAUAAUAAGAAAUGUUGCAUGGGCCAAAGGAAUAAUAGAUCAGCGAUGGAAAGACUCUAAAAGCUGCUGAGGGUUAUUUAUUGAUGGACAUUGUUUAAAAGAAAAAAAAAUCAGUGACAGUUUUCCUUCGUGCUCACCAAGGCAGAUGGCGGGGCAGGUGCCAGAAUGAAAGAUAAAUUUCCUUUUGCAUAAAGAAGAAAUAUUGAAGGAAACUGAGCAGAGGUGAUGGAGAAAUUAGAGCGUUGAAAGACCCUGAAAGCACGCGGUCCAUGUCAGCCCUCUCUCAGGAUUUUCAGCUGAGUCAGCAGAAAGCAGGAAAAACUGUUGCGGGAAAUGAGAACCUCUUUGAAGACCAGUAAUGGAGAGGUUCCUGCAAGUGUCACGUCCAGAGGUCUGAGGAAAGCCUUCCAGGAAUUAAAGUUGGUGGUGCAGAAGGUACCUCUGCGUGGCUGAGUGGCCAACGUGCAUCGUAAUCUGGGACUGCAGUAGAGACAUAGUUAGAAGUUAUGAAUGUAAUGAAGGGAAACCAUCAAAGAUUCAGAAAUUGGAAGCUGGGCCAAUAAUGGGAGAGGAAAACGGACAGAGGGUUUCUGAGGAGUUUGUGCAAAUCAUGAGCCAGGGAGAGCCAAGAGAUACAACUUGUGCAGUGGCAGCAAAGGUUGGGUGUAACACGUUCAAAAAGCAUAACAUGGAGUGGAAGUGAUGAGUGUGGGACAUGGAAGCGCCUGGUGGAGCUCUGAGCUGGUGGUACACACAGAGCUGCUGUGAGGAUGCAUUGGUUUCUGUUGCCUUGGCUGUGAGCGGGGGGUUGGGGGGGUCUGUGGGCACCGG
ensembl:lncRNA